UGCUGGGUUGGGUCUCACUUAUCAGCGACUAGAAGAAUAAUAUAUUAACAGUUAAGACACAUUUAGCGCUAAGAAAUCUUAAUAUUGAUUAUCUUAAAUAAUAGAUACAGACACAUGCAUUAAAGGGUGUUUUCAAAAGUCAGUGUAUUUCCAUGACAGUAGUUAUGUUUCCGGAAGGGAUUUGGGGUUGAAGGGGGCACUUCUAUUUACACCUUUUUAAGC
rnacentral:lncRNA from 1 species